rnacentral:rRNA from 1 species
CGGACGGGUGAGUAAUGCCUAGGAAUCUGCCUGGUAGUGGGGGACAACGUUUCGAAAGGAACGCUAAUACCGCAUACGUCCUACGGGAGAAAGCAGGGGACCUUCGGGCCUUGCGCUAUCAGAUGAGCCUAGGUCGGAUUAGCUAGUUGGUGAGGUAAUGGCUCACCAAGGCGACGAUCCGUAACUGGUCUGAGAGGAUGAUCAGUCACACUGGAACUGAGACACGGUCCAGACUCCUAUGGGAGGCAGCAGCU